UCCGGUUUAGACCGGCGGUCUCCCUAGAGAAGGCAACUAAGGACAAGGGUUGCGCUCGUUGCGGGACUUAACCCAACAUCUCACGACACGAGCUGACGACAGCCAUGCAGCACCUUGCACUCUGUCUGGUUUUACCCAGAAGGCCCCGUCUCCGGGGUUGUCAGAGGCAUUCUAGCCCAGGUAAGGUUCUUCGCGUUGCGUCGAAUUAAACCACAUGCUCCACCGCUUGUGCGGGUCCCCGUCAAUUCCUUUGAGUUUUAAUCUUGCGACCGUACUCCCCAGGCGGAGUGCUUAAUGCGUUAGCUGCGUCACCGACAUGCAUGCAUGCCGACAACUAGCACUCAUCGUUUACGGCGUGGACUAC
rnacentral:misc_RNA from 1 species